rnacentral:rRNA from 1 species
UACGUAGGGGGCAAGCGUUGUCCGGAAUCAUUGGGCGUAAAGGGCGCGUAGGUGGCCCGGUCAGUUCGUGGUGAAAGCGCGGGGCUCAACCCUGCGUCGGCCAUGAAUACUGCCGCGGCUGGAGCACUGUAGAGGCAGGCGGAAUUCCGGGUGUAGCGGUGGAAUGCGUAGAGAUCCGGAAGAACACCGGUGGCGAAGGCGGCCUGCUGGGCAGUUGCUGGACACUGAGGCGCGACAGCGUGGGGAGCAAACAGG